rnacentral:rRNA from 1 species
UACGUAGGGUGCGAGCGUUAAUCGGAAUUACUGGGCGUAAAGCGUGCGCAGGCGGCUUUGCGAGACAGAUGUGAAAUCCCCGGGCUCAACCUGGGAACUGCAUUUGUGACUGUAUAGCUAGAGUACGGUAGAGGGGGAUGGAAUUCCGCGUGUAGCAGUGAAAUGCGUAGAUAUGCGGAGGAACACCGAUGGCGAAGGCAAUCCCCUGGACCUGUACUGACGCUCAUGCACGAAAGCGUGGGGAGCAAACAGG